GGGCGUGUAGCUCAAUCGGAUAGAGCCUCUGUUUAACGCACGGAGUGAUUCGGGUUCAAAUCCCGACACGCCCA
rnacentral:tRNA from 1 species